CAUCGCCUCCUGAACAAAUAUAUGAGGUCCAGCCUGCCCAGUGAUAACAUUUAACGGCCGCGGUAUACUAACCGUGCGAAGGUAGCAUAAUCACUUGUUCUUUAAAUAGGGACUUGUAUCAACGGCAUCACGAGGACUAUACUGUCUCCCCUCUCCAAUCAGUGAAACUGAUCUUCCCGUGAAGAAGCGGGAAUUUAUAUAUAAGACGAGAAGACCCCAUGGAGCUUUAAACCCAGUGUACACCCCUUUACCCAAAUACCAAUUUAAUUUCAAAGGCCUGUAUAUUAGUUUUAGGCUGGGGGGGCCACGGAGUAAAACUUAACCUCCACAACAAAUGGGCUAAUUACCCUUAUCCAUGAUUUACAAAUCUAAGAAUUACAAAAAUGAUGUUUAAUGACCCGAUAAUUCGAUCAAUGAACCAAGUUACCCUGGGGAUAACAGCGCAAUCUACUUCAAGAGCCCAUAUCGACAAGUGGGUUUACGACCUCGAUGUUGGAUCAGGGCAUCCCAGUGGUGCAACCGCUACUAACGG
rnacentral:rRNA from 1 species